AGGUUUUUUUUUUUUUUUUUUUAUCAAACCCAAUGUUAGUACUAUCUUGCUUUUGUAUCUUUCUGCAGGGCGUGACAUUACUGACAUAACCUGUAACUGUAUAGAUCAUUAUUGCAACCACUAUUAUAUAUUUGCAGCAAAUAUUGUACAAAGGUUGUCAUAUAACGUGUCUAUGGAAAGAUUAUGAUUUGCUGAUUAUGAUUAUGCUAUCUGUAUGGGUGUAUCAUUUUUGUAAUUGAAGUUAUGAAUAUUGGCUAUGUACUUGUAUAUUAAUGUGUUUUGAUUCUAAGUAUUCUAAGAUUCUAAGAUUCUCGGUGAAGCAUUUGGUCAUCUUCUUGAGAAAGGACUAUUCUCAGUAAGUGCCCAAUCAAAAAACAUUUAACUGACAAUGGACUGUGGGAGAUGUCAGUCCACAUCUGAGCUUUCCUGGGAACAUUCCAUUUUAUG